ACUACUGAGAGGGUGGUCAGACAACAGGAAGCACUGUCCUUAGCAUCCCUCUGAAUUCCUCAGAGGUGUCUCCUCAUACCUAGAGUCUCAGAACACUUCUCAGCAGGGAAGUUGCAUCAUAGACAUCAUGGAAAUUCUGGAAUCCUUGGUCUGUGAGCAUAAGGUGUCGGCCAACUGGGUCAGCCAGACACAGAAGAUGACUGCAGUCUGAGGCUGUGCGGGCCAUGAGGGUAUGCUCCAUAGGACCUUCCUUGAAGAAUAUCCUACUGGAUAUCACUUGAGGGGUACCUGGGAACUCUACAGCACAUGUUCUUAGUGACUUAUCUGGUGGAGUCCAGAAAGGGGUCAACAUCAGAGGGCUGCAAGCAUCAUGAGUAAGGACUGGAGUAUCUGCCUGGCAGAACAAAAACCACUGAAUGCUAAAAGGGGGUUGCUCACCACUGUUGCUUAUCAGACGGCGAUACAUUUUGUUCCCAGUAUUUUCUCACUGGCUUGCAAUUAGGCAGUUAAGGAUAUUCUUACAUUGCAUUCAAUCAAUUUGAGAAUAUAAUGUCCACUAAGCCCUCCUGACAAGAGGUGCUGGGCUACAAUGGCCAUCUGAGAGAGGAUGUUAACUGUGAGAUGAAUAGAAGGCAAAGUCCACCUCGCUCAGCUGUUUGCUCGCUAUGCAGGGUCUUUAAACCUUGAUGCCGUUCCAGCCAUCAAUUCCUGCCUGCUUGCCUUGUACUUUUGGAAUCCUAUCCAGGAAAUCGUUGUGUGUUUCCUGAAUCAGUCCCCUUGUGUUUGCUCUAAUAGUAAAAGUAAGUUUUUAAGUCUUA